GAUGAACGCUAGCUACCGGCUUAACACAUGCAAGUCGCGUGCCCGGCGCACGGGUGAGUCACACGUAUCCAACCUGCCCUUUACUCGGGGAUAUCCUUUCGAAAGACAUAUUAAUACCCGAUAUAAAGGAUGGGGAUGCGUUCCAUUAGGUUGUUGGUGAGGUAACGGCCCACCAAGCCUUCGAUGGAUAGGGGUUCGGAGAGGAAGGGCACCAAGAGUGGAUAUGAGACACGGUCCAAACUCGUACGGGAGGAAGAAGUGAGGAAUAGUGGGAAAGGGGGGCUAGCAUGAAACAGCAAAGUAGAGGGAAGGAUGAAGGCUUAUGGGUCGUAAAAUUCGUUGAGAGAAGAAGAUGUAUUAUAUGAAGAAGGAGCGGCUAACUCCGUGCCAGCAGCCGCGGUAAUAC
rnacentral:rRNA from 1 species